AUUGAACGCUGGCGGCAUGCUUUACACAUGCAAGUCGGACUAGUGGCGAACGGGUGAGUAAUAUAUCGGAACGUACCUAGUAAUGGGGGAUAACUAAUCGAAAUAUUAUCUAAUACCGCAUCUUAUUCGAGCGGCCGUUAUCUGAUUAGCUAGUUGGUGGGGUAAAGGCUUACCAAGGCGAAGAUGAAUAGCGGGGUUGAGAGGAUGAUCCGCCACAUUGGGACUGAGACACGGCCCAGACUCCUACGGGAGGCAGCAGUGGGGAAUUUUGGACAAUGGACGAAAGUCUGAUGCAGCAACGCCGCGUGAGUGAAGAAGGUCUUCGGGUCGUAAAGGACUGUUGUUAGGGAAGCGGUAAUUGAAGAAAAAGUAACGGCUAACUCCGUGCCAGCAGCCGCGGUAAUAC
rnacentral:rRNA from 1 species